rnacentral:miRNA from 1 species
UAUUAGGUUGGUGCAAGAGUAAUUGCGGUUUUUAAAAGUAAUGACCGAAAACCACAAUUACUUUUGCACCAACUAAUA